UAUCUGACAAGAGCAAUCUGUGUUGUCAUGUGGCUGGAAGUUGCUGACUCUGAUUCUCACGGGUCUCAGAAACACCAGGCAGAAAGGAUGCUGCUAAAGAUGAGUAUGGGAAGAAGAGAGAGCCCUGCACCCAGCAAGAGGAGGCAUGCGAGCCUAAGGUUAAUGCCCAGGAGUUAAGUGGCACCCAGGGCGGGCACACCCAACCAAACAGGAGCUAAGUCCAUCGAGACUUAAAUUCUAACUACAUGUACUUUUAUCAAUGUUAAACAUCUAACCCUUUAAGAAAAAUAAAGUUGGAACAUUUUCAUAUAGUUAACACAGCUGGGGAUUUCCUCACUCUUUUUGCCCUAGCUCAUACCUUCAAUGUUUAAGCUCCAGAAUUGGCACGCUGUUCAAAAGGAAAAUCUAAUGGGACCAUUUUGCCCUAAUUUCAGGAGUCUAAGAGAACAGAGAAAACAUGAUUAAAGUCAAUGAUUUUAUUGAGGGAG